AGCAGCCGCGGUAAUUCCAGCUCCAAUAGCGUAUAUUAAAGUUGUUGCAGUUAAAAAGCUCGUAGUUGAAUUUCGGGAUCAAUACGUCGGUCGUGCUUCGGUACGUACUGGCGUAAUUGAUUUCUCCCUUCUGACGAACCAUGAUGUCAUUAACUUGGUGUCAUGGGAAAUCAGGACUGUUACUUUGAAAAAAUUAGAGUAGUUUAAAGCAGGCUCACGCUUGAAUACAUUAGCAUGGAAUAAUGAAAUAGGACGUUCGAUCCUAUUUUGUUGGUUUCUAGGAUUGACGUAAUGAUUAAUAGGGAUAGUUGGGGGCAUUAGUAUUCAAUUGUCAGAGGUGAAAUUCUUGGAUUUAUUGAAGACUAACUACUGCGAAAGCAUUUGCCAAGGAUGUUUUCAUUAAUCAAGAACGAAA
rnacentral:rRNA from 1 species